rnacentral:rRNA from 1 species
GAUGAACGCUGGCGGCGUGCCUAAUACAUGCAAGUCGAGCGAACGGACGAGAAGCUUGCUUUUCUGAUGUUAGCGGCGGACGGGUGAGUAACACGUGGAUAACCUACCUAUAAGACUGGGAUAACUUCGGGAAACCGGAGCUAAUACCGGAUAAUAUUUUGAACCGCAUUGUUCAUAAGUGAAAGACGGUCUUGCUGUCACUUAUAGAUGGAUCCGCGCUGCAUUAACUAGUUGGUAAGGUAACGGCUUACCAAGGCAACGAUGCAUAGCCGACCUGAGAGGGUGAGCGGCCACACUGGAGCUGAGACACGGUCCAGACUCCUACGGGAGGCAGCAGUAGGGAAUCUUCCGCAAUGGGCGAAAGCCUGACGGAGCAACGCUGCGUGAGUGAUGAAGGUCUUCGGAUCGUAAAACUCUGUUAUUAGGGAAGAACAUAUGUGUAAGUAACUGUGCACAUCUUGACGCUACCUAAUCAGAAAGCCACGGCUAACUACGUG